rnacentral:rRNA from 1 species
GCGACCCCAGUCAGGCGGGAUUACCCGCUGAGUU